GCAUAAAAAGUAUUAGAGGCACUGCCUGCCCAGUGACCUUAGUUCAACGGCCGCGGUAUCCUGACCGUGCAAAGGUAGCAUAAUCACUUGUUCUUUAAAUAAGGACUUGCAUGAAUGGCCCCACGAGGAUUUCACUGUCUCUUACUUCCAAUCGGUGAAAUUGACAUUUCCGUGAAGAGGCGGGAAUUGACUAAUAAGACGAGAAGACCCUAUGGAGCUUUAAUUAAUCAACUCAUCAAUAAUACUUUUUCUCUAAAAGAGCCAACACCUAUUUGACUGAGCUGACAAUUUAGGUUGGGGUGACCUCGGAACAAAACUCAACUUCCGAAAUACUUUUAUCAAGACAGACAAGUCAAAAUUAACCACACAAAUACAUAUUGACCCGUCGACCAGACGAUCAACGAAACAAGUUACCCUAGGGAUAACAGCGCAAUCCUAUUCAAGAGUCCAUAUCGACAAUUAGGGUUUACGACCUCGAUGUUGGAUCAGGACAUCCCAAUGGUGCAGCAGCUAUUAAUGCGUUCGUUUGUUCAACGAUUAAAGUCCU
rnacentral:rRNA from 1 species